rnacentral:rRNA from 1 species
CGAGCGAAUGGAUUAAGAGCUUGCUCUUAUGAAGUUAGCGGCGGACGGGUGAGUAACACGUGGGUAACCUACCCAUAAGACUGGGAUAACUCCGGGAAACCGGGGCUAAUACCGGAUAAUAUUUUGAACUGCAUAGUUCGAAAUUGAAAGGCGGCUUCGGCUGUCACUUAUGGAUGGACCCGCGUCGCAUUAGCUAGUUGGUGAGGUAACGGCUCACCAAGGCGACGAUGCGUAGCCGACCUGAGAGGGUGAUCGGCCACACUGGGACUGAGACACGGCCCAGACUCCUACGGGAGGCAGCAGUAGGGAAUCUUCCGCAAUGGACGAAAGUCUGACGGAGCAACGCCGCGUGAGUGAUGAAGGCUUUCGGGUCUAAAACUCUGUUGUUAGGGAAGAACAAGUGCUAGUUGAAUAAGCUGGCACCUUGACGGUACCUAACCAGAAAGCCACGGCUAACUACGUGCCAGCAGCCGCGGUAAUACGUAGGUGGCAAGCGUUAUCCGGAAUUAUUGGGCGUAAAGCGCGCGCAGGUGGUUUCUUAAGUCUGAUGUGAAAGCCCACGGCUCAACCGUGGAGGGUCAUUGGAAACUGGGAGACUUGAGUGCAUAGGAGGAAAGUGGAAUUCCAUGUGUAGCGGUGAAAUGCGUAGAGAUAUGGAGGAACACCAGUGGCGAAGGCGACUUUCUGGUCUGCGACUGACACUGAGGCGCGAACGCGUGGGGAGCAUACAGGAUUAGAUACGCUGGUAGUCCACGCCGUCAACGAUGAAGUGCUGAUUGUCAGAAGGUUUCCGCUCUUUAGUGCUGAUUUCACGCAGUAACACUCCGCCGGCGAUACGUCGCAGAGCUAAACUCAAUGAUUGACGGGA